CUGGCCGGACGGCGCCCACGAUCCCCCUUGAGGGAAGGAGGGCGGGGCGGGACCACCAGCCGAGGGGACCCCGCCUGUUUCCCUCCCCGUUAGAAAUCGUCCUUGGAGAAGAUGGAAGGGGAGAGGCGGCCGGCACCCUACCAGGGCCUGUUUGCGAACGGGCACCUGGUCCUGUGGACGCUGUGCUCCGUGCUGCUGCCCGUGUUCAUCACCUUCUGGUGCAGCCUCCAGCGUUCGCGCCGACAGCUGCUCCGCAGGGACAUCUUCCGCAAGAGCAAGCACGGGUGGCGCGACACGGACCUCUUCAGCCAGCCCACCUACUGCUGCGUGUGCGCGCAGCACAUUCUGCAGGGCGCUUUCUGCGACUGCUGCGGGCUGCGCGUGGACGAGGGCUGCCUCAAGAAAGCCGACAAGCGCUUCCAGUGCAAGGAUGUCAUGCUCAAGAACGACGGCAGGGCCCCGGACGCCAUGCCCCAUCACUGGAUCCGGGGCAAUGUCCCCCUGUGCAGCUACUGUAUAGUUUGCAAGCAGCAGUGCGGCAGUCAACCCAAGCUCUGCGAUUACAGAUGCAUUUGGUGUCAGAAAAUAGUACAUGAUGAGUGCAUGAAAAACAGCAUAAAAAAUGAGAAGUGUGAUUUUGGAGAGUUCAAAAAUCUUAUCAUUCCACCAAGUUACUUAACCUCCAUUAAUCAGAUGCGUAAAGACAAAAAAACAGAUUAUGCAAUGGUAAAGGAAACAAAAGCAAAAAUGAACAAAUGGGACAACAUCAAACUAAAAAUCUGCACAGCAAAGGACACCAUCAACAAAAUGAAAAGGCAACUUACUCUCACCUCUGAACUUGGAAAACAGUGGACUCCAUUAAUAAUCCUGGCCAACUCUCGUAGUGGAACCAAUAUGGGGGAAGGACUGCUGGGAGAAUUUAGGAUCCUCCUGAACCCAGUCCAGGUUUUUGAUGUAACUAAAACUCCCCCUAUCAAAGCUCUGCAACUUUGUACUCUCCUUCCCUAUUACUCAGCCCGAGUACUUGUUUGUGGAGGGGAUGGGACUGUGGGCUGGGUCCUGGAUGCGGUUGAUGAAAUGAAGAUUAAGGGACAAGAAAAAUACAUUCCACAAGUUGCAGUCUUGCCUCUGGGAACAGGCAACGAUCUCUCCAAUACUUUGGGUUGGGGCACAGGUUAUGCGGGAGAAAUACCAGUCGCACAAGUCUUAAGAAAUGUGAUGGAAGCAGAUGGAAUUAAACUAGAUAGAUGGAAAGUUCAAGUAACAAAUAAAGGAUACUACAACUUAAGAAAACCCAAGGAAUUCACAAUGAACAACUACUUUUCUAUUGGACCUGAUGCACUCAUGGCUCUCAAUUUCCAUGCUCAUCGUGAGAAGGCACCAUCUCUGUUUUCUAGCAGAAUUCUUAAUAAGGCUGUUUACUUAUUCUAUGGAACCAAAGAUUGUUUAGUCCAAGAAUGUAAAGAUUUGAAUAAAAAAGUUGAGCUAGAACUGGAUGGUGAGCGAGUAGAGCUGCCUAAUUUGGAAGGUAUUAUAGUUCUGAACAUUGGCUACUGGGGCGGUGGCUGCAGGCUAUGGGAAGGGAUGGGAGAUGAGACUUACCCUCUAGCCAGGCAUGAUGAUGGCUUACUAGAAGUCGUUGGAGUAUACGGGUCUUUCCACUGUGCUCAGAUUCAGGUGAAACUGGCAAAUCCUUUUCGAAUAGGUCAAGCACAUACAGUGCGGCUGAUUUUGAAGUGCUCGAUGAUGCCAAUGCAGGUAGAUGGGGAGCCGUGGGCCCAAGGGCCCUGCACUGUCACCGUGACUCACAAGACACAUGCACUGAUGUUGUAUUUCUCUGGAGAACAAACAGAUGAUGAUAUCUCUAGUACUUCAGAUCAAGAGGACAUAAAGGAAACCGAAUAAAUGGAUGAGGGAGUGAAAAAUGUAGUAUAGAAUCCUCACAAACAGGUAGAUACAUCAUUCCUCCAAAGGCAGACAUUCUCUAUCAACUAUUUAGUCUUAAUUUCACUAGAAGUAUAAUGGAUAUACAUAUAUGUAAAUAACAUUCCAAAAACAGUGAAACUUCCAGUUGUUUACAAAUGCCUGUUCUUUUUUCAGCAAAACACUUUGAUCGUAUAGUACUAACUUAAAAAAAAUUACAAAACAUACAUGAAGAUGAAAUGUUUUUCAUGGCUUUAUGUUUGAGAGUGGGACUGACUCACUGUGAAGUAUGCACUCUCAUUCCUUAUUCUUGAACCACGUACAUUUGAUGGAUACAUUAUACAUCCAACAAGUUGUGGGAGGAAAAUCAUUUCUAUCUUAAUUUUUAAUAUGUUGAUGCCGCAACAUUUUAAAAGUUAACUUGAAAGGAGAUGGUGAAUGUCAAACCCACAUGGUUAAUGCUGGGCAUCCUUCAGCAGCAUGCCUCUUAAGAUUUCCUACAGCCUAGCACCAAGCGGAUCCAUACAUACCUAUUUCUGGGAAACUGAAAGGAGAAAUGUAAAAGAAAGACAAUACUUAAAACUGUCAGGAUAAUUUUUCUUUUAGGAGCAUUCUCAGACCCCUGAAUGAUGUUUACUAAUCCUAUUAAUGACCAUGUUGAGCUGAAAUUCAAUAUCUUGUUUAUAACCCAGUAUAGCCAAAAGAGAACCACAUAGGUUAAUUGAUAAAAAUUAGCAUUCAGAGCACUUUGGAUUCAAAGUUAUGGGUUCUGAGCUAGACAGUUCACCCAGCUUCACUUUCAGUUAAAAACAAUUGAAAAAAAUGUACUAAAGAAAAUUUAACUAUUCAGAUUAAUUGCUCAAAAAAAGUGCAAUGAUGAGUUUUAAAAAUUCAGUGGUCUUAACAGUAUUUUGAAGUAUGGUAGUCAAAAAUAUCCAAAGUACUUGACCGAAUUUCCCUUCGGGAAGUGGACAGAACCCUCUGCUAAAGUGUUAUUAUCAUAUUUACUUUAAAAUGAGAUAUAUUUUUUUUACUUAUUUAUUUUCUUCAUUGUGGUAUACCUGUGUUUAGUGUUUACAAUUAUGGCUUUAUUAAGUUAAAUUGAUCACAAAUUGUGCUAGUCACAAUCAGAAAUGUAGUUUAUUGACUGAGUAAUUAAAACCUGUAAUUUAAUUCUGAUAAAUAUAUUAUCCAGAUAGUCUUCAUAAAGAUUCCUCAAUAUUUUUAAAGUAGGGGAGGUGGGGAAUGAAAGCACUGGCAACCUACUGAAAGUUUUGUUUCCCUGUUUUAUUUGACCCUCAAUUGCCAACAACUUACUGAAGGGCUAGUCUCCUGGUGACCCGUUAGAGGGCGCUCUUCUGUUAAUUAGGCUUUCUCCUUGGGUCUUGCAGUUAGGCGGAUGCCUGAGGCCUCCAGCCCGAUGUUUUUCCAACAAAUGGCAUGUUUGUGGACUUGGUGGUCUUUCAUGACAUUAAUCUCUGAAAGGCUAGAACAUAGCUCCCAAAACACCAUUAGCUCCUUAAGGAUCUUUGUUGACUGUCAUUCAUGAAUUGCCAUAAACUUAAAUUUCACUCACCUUCAGGACCAGGCCAUAUUUUGAAGGAACAGCUUAGUAGCAUAUACAGUUAGUCAGUACUUCUUAGAAAAUAUUUUUAAUUUUACUUACCCUCUUCCAGAUCUCAGCUGGAGAUGCUAAAUUCUAGUAUUGAAAGAUCUUGUGAGCAGAUCUGUUUUCACCUUAUUCACACACCUUUCAGGGUAGGUCACCUGGAGUGGUGGGAGACUGCCGUCAAGUUUCUUUUAUGGGCUGAUCAUGUUUUGAGUAUAAUGAGUUUUAUUCUUUAAUUCAUGGUCAAAACUGUUUCAGAUACCACAUUUUAUAAAUAUACGGUUAAAUGCACUUUGCUUCAGGCUAUAUUUUUCUGUAAUUCAUAGUGCUAAUUGUAGAAUCAAAGUAAAUAGUUAAUUUGGAGUAUCAGAAUUAAUCAAAAUAACUAUAUAGUUUUUAUUAACACUGUAGUCUUAACCACAACAUUACAUUGGAUUUAGAAUAGGUUUAUGUACAAUAUCCUCAUUUAUUUAAACAAGUUGGUUUUUUAAUUUCCAUAAUCCAGUAAGGUCUUUUUCUUUAUUGAUCCUUCAUCAAGUUUUUCUGUUGCCUCAUUCUCUCAUUCAGACUUAGUUUUAUUUAGGUAAGUUAUUUCAGAAUACUAUAUCAUAAAACAUCUUAUUUUAGUAAAAUUCACUUCUUAGGCACAUGUACCCAGCAUUUCCAAUAAGUGUAUAGGCAUGUGCCUUGCUUUAAAGUAUAAUUUACAAGACACGUGUUUGCAAGUAAUAUAUUGUAGGAGUUGUUUACGUUACAAGGGAUUCUACACUUUGAAAGAAUAAUUUGCCACAGGAUUUUCCUGUUCCAUAUUAAACUGUCUUGAUUUGAAAAUAAUAAUAACUUCUACAUUCUCAGGAAGGAAUAUAUGAAGUAAAGCAUCUCUCCUGUCUGUUUUCAGACUUCUCUCAUCUUCUACUGUCCUAAUACAUUCCUAACUCCUCAUAAAUUUAGUAGCUUACAUACUGGCUUCCUGGCAGCUCUUAUGGAUCCAUAAGUAAAUGGUGAUCAUUUUCAGUGCUUUGUUACAGUUAAAAGAAUUCAAACUGACUUGUGUUUUAAAAUAUAGGUUGUCUAAUGGUGAGAUUACAUGAUCUCAAAUGCGUUUUAGGUUUUCUGCUACAAUUAUCUGUGAACCACUAAUGUAACUAAUGUUUAUAAAAUUUUAUAGUCAAAAUUAUUUAUUUUUAUUUUUUUAGGGUGUGUCAGAUGUGUAGUAUUUGUUUUUUGAAAUGUUUGCCUACUUAGAGUUGUAAAAUAUACUGUGAUGCAGAAGUUGUAAAGUCCUGUUUGCAUUGUAAAAAUGACUACUACCAGCACGUCAGAAGAAAAAUAGUUUGCAUUUUUAAUAUAAAGUAAAAUUGUAUUUGCUGUAUACUAUGGAAUUUUAAAUUUGCACUAACUAGAAAACUUUGAAGGUUACAUUAAUUUAGAUUCAUGUGGAUCCGAAUACAUAAUCUGUACUUACCUGGCCAAAAAGGUCAGUAGAAUGGGUAAUAAUUUUGUGUGGUUUUCCCUCAGAAUGGUAACAGUGAAGCGAGAACCAGCAUUUCAUAUUCAGAAUUUUUUUUCAAUUCUACCUAAUUUGGAUAUGGAAUGUGGUAUGUAGGUAGAUUUUUUUUUUUUAAUCUAGAAAUUUAAAAAAAUAAUAAUAAUGGUGUUACUCUACCCCAAUCUGAAUGAAGGUGUGUUUUCAGCAACACGAUAGGAGAGAUACUUUUAAAAAGUAUGCUCCUGCCUGUCUCAAAUUUUCCCUUUAAGGCCUGUGUCCUGUUUCUUAGAGCGUGACCUGCACGCUGUCUGCAGCACCGCAGUCACCUAGGGAGCUGGUUGCCAUUAUGGACGCCUAAGCCCAGCCCUUGGCUUCGUGAAUCAAUGUCUCUGGAAGUGGGACAUGGACAUCUCUGGUUUUAUUAACAAGUACGUCAGGCGCUUCUGAUGCACACUGAAAUUUUAAAGCUACUGUUCUGCACCUCAUGUGUUCACCAGGGAUUUUGCCAGAUAGAUACCAUGCAGAAAAAUUGAAUUAACUGGAUGUUCUUAAAAUUGUCCUUCACUAACUGCUUUCUUCCUCCAAAACCAUUCUGGUAAAGGACCUCUAUGAAGACUUGCUCAUAUCCUAUCCAAACUGAUGUGUCUGUCUAAACUCUUCCAUAAAAAUUAGUAGCCUCAGAUUCUUACAUGGAACUGUAGGUUUUGGACAGUAACCCAUGGAGUUUUGAGAACAAGCAGUGCUUCAGGGCCAGGGGUGGGGACCCUGUCAGGGCGCCUGCUUUCUCUUCAGUCAGUGCCCCACCCCCACCCUGGUGUGCUGCUUCAGAUAAGAUUGCAGUAGAUAAACCACUUCCUCUUAAAAAAAAAAAGAUUCCACUAUUUUUAUUAAGGAUUUAGAGGCCACUACUCUAACAAAUGUCACCUGGUUAAUUUUCUGCUGAUUUUUACAUAUUCAGAACCUGAUGUUUUUUGGUGAAAUAAUUUGGAGGUCUCAGUUGUCGCUAUUUGGAAUAUGGGCACUUGGCUAUUUCACAACUUUUAAAGGUUUAGAGCAGCCUGAAUCCUUGGCCCUGAUCACUUGCAAGUGAACUGACUGAAUGGGGCUCUGAGCCCGCAUUGUAGGCACUUGUGAUGGCACCACUGAAGUAGCCAACUGGCCUCUUGCACUUUCUCCUCCACCCCUGACCACAUGAGGGUAUGUGACAGCAACAAGAAAGAAGGGUACUCAUGACUCAGUUACCCUGUGUUAAUUACUUUUGUUGUUUUGGGUAUGUAUUGUGGUCAGUGCCUACAGAGAAAUGUGAAUUAAAGCAUUUGAUAUGUUGAAAAUGUUUGCUUGUUUUUUAAUAAAACUUAAAGUUUAGCACUUAAGAAAUAUGAUCCU